rnacentral:lncRNA from 1 species
CAACAGGGUAUCCUAAAUAUCUCUGAAGACCCAGUAGUACAUUAAAAGGACGUUCAUCACAGGCAUGAAAUCACAGAAGACUUUACACAGAAGGUUUUAGUACUAUAGAGAUUAUCUUUGUGGUAUAUACUUCUUCCUCUUGAUAAAAAGGAGCACUGGAAAAAACUAACUGUGGAUUUUAUGUGAAGAAGGCAAGAAUGGAAAAGAGAAAUGCAAAGAGACAAUAGCACAACUAGUCCCGGGAUCUCUCUGUCAAGGCUUCCCUGUAGAAAUUUUCAUUUGAAAUGUUGUGGAAUCCCUUGCCUGAAAUGUGAUGUAACACUGGAAUAUUUCCUCUGCAGAAAUAUUUGCAUGUUUCUAAAGGAAAAUAUCAUGGAUUUCUAAGCCUACUGAAAACAUCAUGGACUCACGGGAUGGUUGAGGUUGGAAGGGACCUCUGGAGAUCAUCUGCUCCAGCCACCCUGCCAAGCAGGGUCACCUAGAGCACAUUGCACAGGAUCACAUCCAGGCGGGUUUUGAAUAUCUCCAGAGAAGGAGACUCUCUGGGAAACCUGUUCCAGUGCCCUGUCACCCUCAGAACAUAUUUUCUAUGUGUCAUUAAUAUUCAAGGUAAAAAACAUCCAUUUGCCCAAAAGCAUGUUGAGAAAUAUAAUGAUGACUGAAUGUUGGAGCCAGCGAACAAGGAAUUUUUCCAUUGGCCACUGACCUUUGUGUAAGGCUAAACAGAACAGUUUGGUAAAGUGAGCCUUGGAUAAACACCUUGAGAGACUUAAGAACUCUCAUAUGAUGCAAUUGGCAGGAAAUUGAUAGAUUAUUCAAAUAUUAAAUCUUAAAUGAAAAACAAGUGGAGAGCAUUCAUAAUUUAAAGAAAAACACAUAAAUCCCAAAAGAGAAAAGAGAAACUAUUUUAGUCACAUUUUUUACUUCAAAUUAAGUAGUCAUACAGUGUCUAGAACUAUGUCUGCAACAUACAUCACAAAAAUAAAUAAAUAAUAAAAUAAAAAACUGACA